rnacentral:rRNA from 1 species
AUUGAACGCUGGCGGCAUGCCUUACACAUGCAAGUCGAACGGUAACGGGCCUUCGGGUGCCGACGAGUGGCGAACGGGUGAGUAAUGCAUCGGAACGUACCUUUCAGUGGGGGAUAACGUAGCGAAAGUUACGCUAAUACCGCAUAUUCUGUGAGCAGGAAAGCAGGGGAUCGCAAGACCUUGCGCUGAUUGAGCGGCCGAUGUCAGAUUAGCUAGUUGGUGAGGUAAAGGCUCACCAAGGCGACGAUCUGUAGCGGGUCUGAGAGGAUGAUCCGCCACACUGGAACUGAGACACGGUCCAGACUCCUACGGGAGGCAGCAGUGGGGAAUUUUGGACAAUGGGGGCAACCCUGAUCCAGCCAUGCCGCGUGAAUGAAGAAGGCCUUCGGGUUGUAAAGCUCUUUCGGCCGGGAAGAAAUCGUAUGGGUUAAUACCCUGUGCGGAUGACGGUACCGGCAUAAGAAGCACCGGCUAACUACGUG